ACAGGCACUCAGUAUCCUUGUGAGGCCAAACAGAGAAGUCACAUGGUAAUACCUGAGUGUUUGU
rfam:Equus caballus chromosome 26, whole genome shotgun sequence.